rnacentral:tRNA from 3 species
GGGGCUGUAGCUCAGCUGGGAGAGCGCUAGCUUUGCAAGCUAGAUGUCGUCGGUUCGAUCCCGAUCAGCUCCACAA